rnacentral:rRNA from 1 species
GAGUUUGAUCCUGGCUCAGGACGAACGCUGGCGGCGUGCCUAACACAUGCAAGUCGAACGAAGCUCCGACACUUGAGUUUUCGGACAAGAGUGAAGGAUGACUUAGUGGCGAACGGGUGAGUAAUGCGUGAGCAACCUGCCUUUCAGAGGGGGACAACAGCUGGAAACGGCUGCUAAUACCGCAUAACACAUCGGGGUGGCAUCACCCUGAUGUCAAAGGAGCAAUCCGCUGAGAGAUGGGCUCACGUCUGAUUAGCUAGAUGGUGGGGUAACGGCCCACCAUGGCGACGAUCAGUAGCCGGUCUGAGAGGAUGAACGGCCACAUUGGGACUGAGAUACGGCCCAGACUCCUACGGGAGGCAGCAGUGGGGAAUAUUGGGCAAUGGGCGAAAGCCUGACCCAGCAACGCCGCGUGAAGGAAGAAGGCUUUCGGGUUGUAAACUUCUUUUAUCAGGGACGAAGGAUGUGACGGUACCUGAUGAAUAAGCCACGGCUAACUACGUGCCAGCCGCCGCGGUAAUAC